GCUAGUGUGGCGUAGUGGUUUGAGCAUUGGACUACGACUCUGGAGACCAGGGUUCAGUUCCCAGCUCAGCC